rnacentral:rRNA from 1 species
GAUGAACGCUGGCGGCGUGCCUAAUACAUGCAAGUCGAGCGAACAGACGAGGAGCUUGCUCCUCUGACGUUAGCGGCGGACGGGUGAGUAACACGUGGAUAACCUACCUAUAAGACUGGGAUAACUUCGGGAAACCGGAGCUAAUACCGGAUAAUAUAUUGAACCGCAUGGUUCAAUAGUGAAAGACGGUUUUGCUGUCACUUAUAGAUGGAUCCGCGCCGCAUUAGCUAGUUGGUAAGGUAACGGCUUACCAAGGCAACGAUGCGUGGCCGACCUGAGAGGGUGAUCGGCCACACUGGAACUGAGACACGGUCCAGACUCCUACGGGAGGCAGCAGUAGGGAAUCUUCCGCAAUGGGCGAAAGCCUGACGGAGCAACGCCGCGUGAGUGAUGAAGGUCUUAGGAUCGUAAAACUCUGUUAUUAGGGAAGAACAAAUGUGUAAGUAACUAUGCACGUCUUGACGGUACCUAAUCAGAAAGCCACGGCUAACUACGUGCCAGCCGCCGCCGUAAUAC